rnacentral:tRNA from 1 species
CAAGAUAUAAUUUAAAUAGAAUGUUGGCUUUGGGGGUCAAAAGUAGAGGUUAGAGUCCUUUUAUCUUGA